GAUGAAGAACGUAGCGAAAUGCGAUACUUGGUGUGAAUUGCAGAAUCCCGUGAACCAUCGAGUCUUUGAACGCAAGUUGCGCCCGAAGCCAUUAGGCCGAGGGCACGCCUGCCUGGGCGUCACACGUCGUUGCCCCCCCAUCUACUCCUUCGGGAUUGCGGGGGGCGGAUGAUGGCCUCCCGUGCGCCUCGUCGCGCGGUUGGCAUAAAUGCCAAGUCCUCGGCGACGCACGCCACGACAAUCGGUGGUUGCGAAACCUCGGUUGCCCGUCGUGUGCGGUCGUCGCGCAUCGAGGGCUCGAAAAAAUUGCCGGGCUCCGGCUCGGCUUUCAACGCGACCCCAGGUCAGGCGGGGUUACCCACUGAAUUUAAGCAUAUCAAUAAGCGGAGGA
rnacentral:misc_RNA from 1 species